GUAGGGAAUCUUGCGCAAUGGGCGAAAGCCUGACGCAGCCAUGCCGCGUGAAUGAUGAAGGUCUUAGGAUUGUAAAAUUCUUUCACCGGGGAAGAUAAUGACGGUACCCGGAGAAGAAGCCCCGGCUAACUUCGUGCCAGCAGCCGCGGUAAUACGAAGGGGGCUAGCGUUGCUCGGAAUUACUGGGCGUAAAGGGCGCGUAGGCGGAUAUUUAAGUCGGGGGUGAAAGCCCAGGGCUCAACCCUGGAACAGCCUUCGAUACUGGAUAUCUUGAGUACGGGAGAGGUGUGUGGAACUCCGAGUGUAGAGGUGAAAUUCGUAGAUAUUCGGAAGAACACCAGUGGCGAAGGCGACACACUGGCCCGUUACUGACGCUGAGGCGCGAAAGCGUGGGGAGCAAACAGGAUUAGAAACCCUAGUAGUCC
rnacentral:rRNA from 1 species